UGUGCGACAGUGACUCCUCGUCGGCUGAGGGUUUACGUUGCGACGACGGGACGUCGCAAGAGGAGAUCUCCGUAGACGAUGACCCGUGCCCGUGCGUGGCGGUGGCUCGCUACGACUACGCCGCUCGCUCCGAGCGGGAGCUCGGGUUUCGCGUGGGCGACAAGCUGGAGCUGCUCCGUCGCACCUCCGUCGACUGGUGGGAGGCGCGCUCGGGCGACCGCAUCGGCGCCGUACCGCACGACUACCUGCAGCUCCCCGGCCACGUCGAGCCGUGGGAUGAUAAUAAACACAGCGCCUCUUCUUCCCCGGACUGGAAUAAAAGCAGUCCGGAGAUUCGGAAGGGCAAGUCCGGAUUCGGUAAUGCUGAGGUCCAGCCGGAGUCCAAGUCGCCGGGCGGAGGAGUCCGUUCCGUCACUUCGGGGCAGCCGGCAGUGGCCAACCCUGAC